AAGAGUUGUUUCUUGCCGCCCCUGCUCUGUUCCUAUCUACUGCGUGGCGCCAUCAUCCUUGUUACUGUUACUGUUGGGGUUGCCGGCGUCGUGAAUCUCAUUGGUUUCAUCAAACCGGAGAACGAAGCCAAACUUCAUUCCCACUUGAUCGAUGAAACAUCUCUAUCCAACUCAACUGCAUGGGCCACUAGUACAUCGACAACAGAUUCUCUGGCAAAUGCAACAGCUACACUGCCAGUGGUGACAACUGUACUCCCACAGUCACCAAUGACCAACGUGGAAACAUGGUUGGAAACCCAGAAGACUGAUAAGCAAAGUACGCUAACGAUAAAGAAAG